UUGAAAGCCUGAAACCAACAGCAAACCCUUCCCCAAUUCCAUAAUUUCCAUUCGAAGCAAAAGCAACAGCUGCGCCUGCAAUGUGUUCAAAGUUCGAGCUACGAAUGAUGGUCACUGCUUUGCUGUUAGCUCUUGCUGCUUAGUGCUGUUGACGCGACGCCAUGGGCGAGGCGCCGAGGAAGAGGAUAAGGAGUCACUGUCGACGACGUCUUUCUUCGAGCAGCCUACAGGUGAGGGUGCAUUUCUCUUAUUCUCUUUCUCUAUUGUUUUUUUUUUUUUUUUGGUUUUCUUAAGGAAACCAAAUAUUUCCCUAAAAUGGAAUUAAUUAUUUGCAGUUAAGUAAUAGUAAUAAGAGUUUGACGUGUAUAACAGUAUAAGGAAAGAAAAAUAAAAAAAAGUGAAAGAGAGGGGGGCUGUAAAGGAUUGACGACAUGGAAGUUGGAACUAUGUUAUUGGUUUUGAAUUUUGCUUACUGAAUUUUUAUAUUGGAUUGAACUCUAAUUCGAAAUGAAUCCUACCUUUGAAGCUUAAAAUUACUAAUUAAUACAUGAAAUUAGAACAAUAAUAGAUUUAAUUUGUGUUAUCAAGCUUCAAUUAGUUUCAAAUUUCACUUGAGUUGUUGAAUGUUGAGUGUUGACUGUAAUUUGUGUUAUUAGUCUUAUUAAUCAAUAAUCGC
rnacentral:lncRNA from 1 species